CUCGCUGUUGGCAACUUUCAAGGAACACUGUUCGUCGACCAUACACUCCUGACGCAGAAGAGCCGCUGUUUCGGCGAAAAACGAACGCUGAUCCUCGAACAGUCGGCAGCGUUAGCGGUUCGUUAGACGGGCUCGAUUUCGUAAAGCCGUCCCUCGGCCCGUUUGACCCGUUCUCGAGAAUGACCCGCGUUCCUCGACAAAAGCGUCAACGAGGCUCGUGGAGCGGGAAGCGGGAAGCGGGAAACGACGAGUCGCUGAAGAAACAGGAAGCGGUGCGAUGGACUGCGUUGGAAUGUAAAUGGAGAAUCGGCCGAGACACGAACAAAAGAAGAGUCAGCGAGAAAGAGCGCAUAGAACGCGUUCGCUGCGGGGUAAAGGACCUGCGCGGAAAUGCCGUAAAACCGUACAAGGAUCGAGAUCAAAGCAAAACAGUGACUUCAUCGAAGUACUGUUUCAACCUCGAAUACGUAUCGGUAGCGAGUACCGUAAUCGAGUUCUUUGAUUCCUGUCGCGUCCCGUAGCGUCCCGGCGCGUUGCAUCGCUCCUCGUUUCGUCACCUAACGUCACGCGUCUACCCGCGAUCGAGAAAGAUAAUUCGACCAGUUUGUCGAAGAUAAUCGAAGGUGAGCUUUAGUCACCUUCCAAAAGGCGACAACGAGUCUUAUCAUAGCUGGACGUUUCUCUCGUUCGAUUUCAUAGAUGUGCUCGAAUAAGGAUGUCCGGAACGCUUCGAUAUCUUCUCUAAUUUAUCUCAUUCAUUCUGUAUGCGGCCCAAUUAUGCGUCCUUAUCCGACCAAGUAUCUGCAAAUUACUCUAUAACGACGAUACCACCUAAGCUUCUCGAACCUCUGCCUUCCCUUCGCUCUCUCUUAGCUUGCUACGGAUUCUCCUUCGUUCCGUGACUCGUUAUUAGCUCGGAAUUAAUUAAAACUUAGCUAUUAAUUGUAAGUACCGCUCGUCUGUUCGCACCAAGCUGACUUUUCUUAUGGAACGAAAGGUUACAAUGACUGAAAAUACAAUUGGUACAAGUAGUUCUCGUUAUGGGAAUUCAUUGGGAGUGUCAUAAUAUAUUUUCUUUCUAAACGUUUAGCAUUUUCGUUCUCUCGCACUCACAAUUAUAACAAGAUCGACAAAUUAUUAAAAUAAUUGUUUCACGAACUUGUAUUCACAAACUUGUAUUUUGAAAAGAUCGCCAUAAAUUAAAAACUUUUUAAAUUCA